GGCGCCGUAGCCAAGUGGUAAGGCCCGGGACUGCAAAUCCCGUAUGCAUCGGUUCGACUCCGAUCGGCGCCUCCA
rnacentral:tRNA from 2 species